rfam:Canis lupus familiaris chromosome 33, whole genome shotgun sequence.
ACCUGGUUGGCUCAGUGGUUGAGCAUUUGCCUUCAGCUCAGGUUAUGAUCCCGGGGUCCUGGGAUCGAGUCCCACAUCAGGCU